UACAGAGGGUGCUAGCGUUGUUCGGAAUUACUGGGCGUAAAGGGCGCGUAGGCGGCUUGUUAAGUCGGGUGUGAAAGCCCGGGGCUCAACCCCGGAACUGCAUCCGAGACUGGCGAGCUUGAGACCGGGAGAGGAGAGUGGAAUACCCAGUGUAGAGGUGAAAUUCGUAGAUAUUGGGUGGAACACCGGUGGCGAAAGCGGCUCUCUGGCCCGGAUCUGACGCUGAGGCGCGAAAGCGUGGGGAGCAAACAGG
rnacentral:rRNA from 1 species